rnacentral:tmRNA from 1 species
CAACUUGAAAAAUGUGAAAAGUGUUGUUAUAAAAUGCUUGUCAGGUAACUGACUAUGACACUAGAGGCGGUAUGAAAUAGGUAUAUUGGACCCGAGGGCAGUACUCGGCACCUCCACCAUUUUAUAUUGUAUAUAAGUGCUUGCCACUUAAAAACAAAAAGCGGAUAAGUGCUUUGCUGUGAUGAAAUUUUUUAUACGAAGUGUACAAAGAGGUACACGAGUAUAAAAAGUUGCAAGCAUGAAAGUACUUAAAAACAAAAAGCGGAUAAGUGCUUUGCUGCGCCGAAAUUUUUUAUACGAAGUGUACAAAAAGGUACACGAGUAUAAAAAGUUGCAAGCAUGAAAGUACUUAUACGAUUUUUAUGGGGGUGAAACAGGUUAGACAGUAUAUAAUAAAGAUACUUUUGCUGUGUUCGGCAAGAUACCACCGUUAUCGGUUCAAAAUAAAUGAACGCAAAUGAUAAUUUUGCACCUGUUGCAGUAGCUGCUUAAUUUAGGCGAUAGCAACAAAUUCAAAAUUCUUUUGACAUUGGUUUGUUAAAAGUGGGGAAUGAGCCACCUAGCAACAGAACGGCUCAUUU